rnacentral:lncRNA from 1 species
UUGUGGUGUUCAUCUAUAUUUAAAUGAAGGAUACGAAUCAUCAUUGUAAUGGCAACUUUAGCUGUCAGGGAUCCUGUUGCAGCUCUGCCUCAGCCAGUCUGUGCACAGAGCAUGGAGCACCAGGGCCAUGGAGCAUGUGGGCUAUGGAAUCGGGUUGCCUAUUUUCAUCUUGACUCCAUCACUUGCUGGGCAACCUUGAUGUCUUCUAAGUAGAAGAUGAAGGAUGCUUUGCAGGUGACUAAAAUGCACUGCCUUGUUAUUACAGGGAGCGGACUCAAACCUUUCAAAUAUUUUGAGUGGUUGGAAAGAAGAAACACAAAACAAUUCUAUUUUCUGAGUUUUAAAAAUGUCUGAACCCCUGGAAGACCCAGCCAGACCAAAUCUGCUUUUUCUCCUGGAUCCAUAAUGUACAGUGGUAAAUUAAAGGCUUCGAGAAGCUCUGUAGUAAAGAACUCUGUUUAACUUGAUGUUUUACACAUUCAUUAGACCAUGAGAUUCUCUUCUUGUAGAAUAAGAAUCAACAUCUCAUAGAAAAUUUCCAGAGACCACAGUUAAAGAAGGGUUCUCUGAAGCCUUUUAAAAGCAGAGAGUAGGCAGCCUGAGGUACCAACUCUGCAGUGUGAUCAGCAGAGGAAGACAGAAUUGGGAGAAGCAGCAGAGGUCUAUGGCUUCUAACUGGAACCUAAGGAUAAAA